rnacentral:snoRNA from 2 species
CUCCUCUCAGGGUUGCACCUGGAGAGUUUCUGGUACUCUACCAGUCUUGAUUACGGGAGGGAGAGUCAAGCAGAGGCAUACCCAUUCCAUUCCUAGCUUGGCCAGUGGCUAGCGAGUGGAAGGCAGUCUGUUACAAGU